rnacentral:lncRNA from 1 species
AGUAGUUUCAGGUAAAUAGAAAUCACUCAGGGGCAAGCAAAGGCAGUUUAGUGUCAACACUGUAAACUCACUUGAUACAAAUUAUGUACCCAGCAGCCAAUUUUUACUUGGCAACCAGAACACAGAAGUGUAAGCAGUAUUAAAAUGAUAGGGUUACUAAACAUUUGUUGAUCUGAAUCCUUCAUUUAAGGCAUUAUGCUCUAUGUAAAUUGCAAUCCUUUUGUUUUGCUUCUUGGUGCUAAUUGGAUUGGGAGAUUAAUUAGAUGGCUAUUGUUGGUCAAAUUCUCCACGUUAGAGGGUGCAGGGAACUGAGACUAGGGUUUCUACUGCAGUCUUAAGUUUUAUCUAUCUUGUUCUCUAUUAGUAACUGUUUUUCAAGCAAACUUACCACAGUGGCAGCUGCAAGGAAGGUUUGUUUGGAGAGGCCCUCCAAAAUGUUUACUUGCUGCGGCGCUUUGUUGCUGCUGGACUUAUCUUAUUCUCCAGCUGUGGGAGAGGAUUAUGCAUCACCUUGCUCCUCCUGCGCCUCCAAAUUCUCCUCCUGCAAAACUUCAAAUCUUUUUUAAUACUUGUUCCAGACACUCCUUUUUUUCUUUCUGGCCAGCGUGAUACCAGCUUUGUGAGCCAAGGGGCAAAGAUUGUCCCUUGAAUUCAGACUGUCUGGAGUCCACAGAUCUACCACUGUACAAAGGAGCAACUGAGGAUCACCCAUCCAGUUUUACACGGUGAACAG